rnacentral:tRNA from 1 species
CAGAGGUUAGUUUAUUUUAAAAUUCUAAUUUUGGAGAUUAGUGAUGGGCGGCCCGUCCUCCUCUGA